AACGAACGCUGGCGGCAUGCCUAACACAUGCAAGUCGAACGAGACCUUCGGGUCUAGUGGCGCACGGGUGCGUAACGCGUGGGAACCUGCCCUUAGGUUCGGAAUAACUCCCCGAAAGGGGUGCUAAUACCGGAUAAUGUCUUCGGACCAAAGAUUUAUCGCCUUUGGAUGGGCCCGCGUUGGAUUAGCUAGUUGGUAGGGUAAAAGCCUACCAAGGCGACGAUCCAUAGCUGGUCUGAGAGGAUGAUCAGCCACACUGGGAGUGAGACACGGCACAGACUCCUACGGGAGGCAGCAGUGGGGAAUAUUGGACAAUGGGCGAAAGCCUGAUCCAGCAAUGCCGCGUGAGUGAUGAAGGCCUUAGGGUUGUAAAGCUCUUUUACCCGGGAUGAUAAUGACGGUACCGGGAGAAUAAGCUCCGGCUAACUCCGUG
rnacentral:rRNA from 1 species